GACGAACGCUGGCGGCGUGCUUAACACAUGCAAGUCGAACGGAAAGGCCCUGCUUGCAGGGUACUCGAGUGGCGAACGGGUGAGUAACACGUGGGUGAUCUGCCCUGCACUUCGGGAUAAGCCUGGGAAACUGGGUCUAAUACCGGAUAGGAGCCAUUUUUAGUGUGAUGGUUGGAAAGUUUUUUCGGUGUAGGAUGAGCUCGCGGCCUAUCAGCUUGUUGGUGGGGUAAUGGCCUACCAAGGCGGCGACGGGUAGCCGGCCUGGGAGGGUGGACGGCCACAUUGGGACUGAGAUACGGCCCAGACACCUACGGGAGGCAGCAGUGGGGAAUAUUGCACAAUGGGCGCAAGCCUGAUGCAGCGACGCCGCGUGGGGGAUGACGGCCUUCGGGUUGUAAACUCCUUUCGCUAGGGACGAAGCUUUUUGUGACGGUACCUAGAUAAGAAGCACCGGCUAACUACGUG
rnacentral:rRNA from 1 species